rnacentral:rRNA from 1 species
AGCGGUAGCACAGAGAGCUUGCUCUCGGGUGACGAGCGGCGGACGGGUGAGUAAUGUCUGGGAAACUGCCUGAUGGAGGGGGAUAACUACUGGAAACGGUAGCUAAUACCGCAUAACGUCGCAAGACCAAAGUGGGGGACCUUCGGGCCUCAUGCCAUCAGAUGUGCCCAGAUGGGAUUAGCUAGUAGGUGGGGUAACGGCUCACCUAGGCGACGAUCCCUAGCUGGUCUGAGAGGAUGACCAGCCACACUGGAACUGAGACACGGUCCAGACUCCUACGGGAGGCAGCAGUGGGGAAUAUUGCACAAUGGGCGCAAGCCUGAUGCAGCCAUGCCGCGUGUGUGAAGAAGGCCUUCGGGUUGUAAAGCACUUUCAGCGGGGAGGAAGGCGAUAAGGUUAAUAACCUUGUCGAUUGACGUUACCCGCAGAAGAAGCACCGGCUAACUCCGUGCCAGCAGCCGCGGUAAUACGGAGGGUGCAAGCGUUAAUCGGAAUUACUGGGCGUAAAGCGCACGCAGGCGGUCUGUCAAGUCGGAUGUGAAAUCCCCGGGCUCAACCUGGGAACUGCAUUCGAAACUGGCAGGCUAGAGUCUUGUAGAGGGGGGUAGAAUUCCAGGUGUAGCGGUGAAAUGCGUAGAGAUCUGGAGGAAUACCGGUGGCGAAAGCGGCCCC